ACCCUUGAAAGAUAACAGCUAUCUAUUGGUCUUAGGAACCAAAAACUCUUGGUGCAACUCCAAGCAAGAGUU
rnacentral:tRNA from 1 species